rnacentral:rRNA from 1 species
AUUGAACGCUGGCGGCAGGCCUAACACAUGCAAGUCGAGCGGAUGAAGGGAGCUUGCUCCUGGAUUCAGCGGCGGAUGGGUGAGUAAUGCCUAGGAAUCUGCCUGGUAGUGGGGGAUAACGUCCGGAAACGGGCGCUAAUACCGCAUACGUCCUGAGGGAGAAAGUGGGGGAUCUUCGGACCUCACGCUAUCAGAUGAGCCUAGGUCGGAUUAGCUAGUUGGUGGGGUAAAGGCCUACCAAGGCGACGAUCCGUAACUGGUCUGAGAGGAUGAUCAGUCACACUGGAACUGAGACACGGUCCAGACUCCUACGGGGGGCAGCAGUGGGGAAUAUUGGACAAUGGGCGAAAGCCUGAUCCAGCCAUGCCGCGUGUGUGAAGAAGGUCUUCGGAUUGUAAAGCACUUUAAGUUGGGAGGAAGGGCAGUAAAUUAAUACCUUGCUGUUUUGACGUUACCAACAGAAUAAGCACCGGCUAACUUCGUG